UACGAAGGGGGCUAGCGUUGUUCGGAAUUACUGGGCGUAAAGCGCACGUAGGCGGAUAUUUAAGUCAGGGGUGAAAUCCCAGAGCUCAACUCUGGAACUGCCUUUGAUACUGGGUAUCUUGAGUAUGGAAGAGGUAAGUGGAAUUGCGAGUGUAGAGGUGAAAUUCGUAGAUAUUCGCAGGAACACCAGUGGCGAAGGCGGCUCACUGGACCGGAACUGACGCUGAGGUGCGAAAGCGUGGGGAGCAAACAGG
rnacentral:rRNA from 1 species